GCCAUAUGACUGAUGAAAUGUAUCAAUUAGUUCUUUUCAUCUUUUGGAACAUAAAAUGCCAACUCCCCCCCCCCCCCCCCCCGACCGUGGGGGAUAACGCAGCGAAAGCUGUGUUAAUACCGCGUACGAUCUACGGAUGAAAGCGGGGGAUCGCAAGACCUCGCGCGGACGGAGCGGCCGAUGGCAGAUUAGGUAGUUGGUGGGAUAAAAGCUUACCAAGCCGACGAGCUGUAGCUGGUCUGAGAGGACGACCAGCCACACUGGGACUGAGACACGGCCCAGACUCCUACGGGAGGCAGCAGUGGGGAAUUUUGGACAAUGGGGGAAACCCUGAUCCAGCCAUGCCGCGUGCAGGAUGAAGGCCUUCGGGUUGUAAACUGCUUUUGUACGGAACGAAAAUGUCCUUUCUAAUAAAGAGGGCUCAUGACGGUACCGUAAAGAAUAAGCACCGGUUAACUACGUGCCAGCAGCCGCGGNNNNNNNNNNNNNNN
rnacentral:ncRNA from 1 species